rnacentral:rRNA from 1 species
CCUAACACAUGCAAGUCGAGCGGAACACUUGGAGCUUGCUCCAAGCGUUUAACGGCGGACGGAUGAGUAACACGUGGGCAACCUGCCCUGCGAAUCGGGAUAACUCCGGGAAACCGGUGCUAAUACCGAAUAGUUUGAAGCCUCUCCUGAGGCUUCACGGAAAGACGGUUUCGGCUGUCACUGCAGGAUGGACCCGCGGCGCAUUAUCUAGUUGGUGGGGUAACGGCCCACCAAGGCCACGAUGCGUACCCGACCUGAGAGGGUGACCGGCCACACUGGGACUGAGACACGGCCCAUACUCCUACGGGAGGCGGCAAUAAGGAAUCUUCCGCAAUGGACGCGAGUCUGACGGACCAACGCCGCG